rnacentral:rRNA from 1 species
UAGUAUGGGGAUCUGCCCGAUAGAGGGGAAUAACUACUGGAAACGGUGGCUAAUACCGCAUAAUGUCUACGGAUCAAAGCAGGGGCUCUUCGGACCUUGCACUAUCGGAUGAACCCAUAUGGGAUUAGCUAGUAGGUGGGGUAAAGGCUCACCUAGGCGACGAUCUCUAGCUGGUCUGAGAGGAUGAUCAGCCACACUGGGACUGAGACACGGCCCAG